GGAAAGACCCCGUGAACCUUUACUGUACUCUGAUAUGGGCCCUUGAUUUGUCAUAUGUAGGAUAACCGGGAGACUUUGACGGCAAGCCGCUAGGUUUGCAAGAGUCAUCCUUGAAAUACCGGUUUUGGCAAAUUGAGGAUCUAACGAAGCUCUGUGAAUCCAGAGUUCGGACAGUGUCAGACGGGCAGUUUUACUGGGGCGGUAUCCUCCUAAAGAGUAACGGAGGAGCACGAAGGUACCCUCAGCAUUGUCGGAAAUC
rnacentral:rRNA from 1 species